rnacentral:rRNA from 1 species
GACGAACGCUGGCGGCGUGCUUAACACAUGCAAGUCGAGGGCACUUGGGGGCAACCUCAGGUGACCGGCGAACGGGUGCGUAACACGUGAGCGACCUUGCCUCGUGGUGGGGGAUAGCCGGCCCAACGGCCGGGUAAUACCGCAUAUGGUGCUGUCUUCGCAUGGAGAGAGUAGCAAAGCCCUGGAGCAAUCCAGUGGCGCCACAGGGGGGCGUC